AAAGCAGGCUGCAAUUACAGUGCUUCAUUCUGUGGGAGUACUGCCAUUUUUCCUGCUGAGAGUAAUUCUGUUAAUGUUGUCUUUGAUUUCACCUAUGCCUUGGUGAAACCAUCAAUCUUUAACAUGUACAAGU
ensembl:snoRNA